UGAUGCAGGUUUCCUGAUUCAGAAUCAUUUUGGAUUGUCGGAGUUGCGGCUGAGGUUUUGACUGGCAUGUACUCUUGCUGGAUAUGCAGGGCUGACUGGGUGCUAUUGCUGUUUAAUGACGUAUCAAUGUGCUGAUUCGCAACAAUUUUGCUUCUGGUAUAGCAGCAGGUGGAGGAGGGUAUUGAACAUGACUGUGUGCAGGCUCGCGAUUUGGAAUUGAAGAGAGCGGAAUCUUUGGGCAUAGCAUAAAAUUUGGAACAAGGCGGCAAUUCUUGGAGAUUAGGGAGAUGGUUAUACUUGAAAGCUUGAAGAGGAAAAUGAUCUUGAAAUUUGUACAGGAGGCCUAAGGAUUGGAAUACUGACUUGUAAAAAUGAUGAUGUAACAGUUUGUAAUGGAUAUGUGUUUUGAACACUUGUGAUGGAAACUUGAAAUGUAAUGAUUUUUCUCUUCACAUUUUCAAA